rnacentral:lncRNA from 1 species
UGCCACUUGGCAGAAGGACCCCGUGGUAGGAAAGCGAGACCCGAUUAAGCCUUGCCAGGUACUGACUCAUUCCACCUAUGUGGAAGGGUGUGCAACCUUGAAAAGAACAUUUGGAUUAAAAAUAGUGGGUGAACUUGUGGUUCUAAUGCUAACGCCCUUUUUAAUUCAUGGAGUACAGUACAGUAUACUAUAUUUCUAGGGUUUAACCGCCUUACUUAAGUGUCCCAGCCAGUUUUUAACACGUGCUUUUUCUGCUAAUUUACAGAGUUCAAGUGGAGUCACACUUACAUUUUGAACUUCAUUUCUAAUGCAGACACUUAAAACAGCUCUAUUCACCUCCCAAAAAGGUAAUGCGGAUUCCUCCAGUAAAGGAGCAUAUGAGUAUUUAUUGAAUUCUUGUGCUUGUCAAAAACCACAACAUUAUCUGUGUUUUCACUGAAGGAAAAGCACUGCCAAAAAGCGGGGGGCCUGGGGAGAUGGGGAGGCAAAGGAGGAUUGGGAAGCAAAUACUUAACCCUGUACAUACCGGGAUUUUCAUCCACCGGUGUGAAAGUUUGUAGAAAAUAAGUGUUGGUGAGGAUAUGGAGGAACUGGAACCCUUGUGCAUUGCUUGUGGGCAUGCAAAAUGGUGUAGUUGCUUUGAAAAAGUUUGAUGAUUUCUCAGAAAAUGAAACACAGAGUUACCAUAUGAUCCACUGAAAGCAGACACUCAGUUACUGGUACAUCCAUGUUCACAGUAACAUUGUUUCCAAUAGCCAAAGGGUAGAAACAACCCAAGUAAAUGUAGAAAGGAAUGGAUAAACAAAAUGUGGUAUGUACAUGCAAUGGAGUAUUUAGUCAACCUUAAGGAGUCAGUAAUACCUGCUACAACAUAGGAGAAUCUUGAAAACAUGUUAAGUGAAAUAAGCCAGACACAAAGACAAAUACUGUAUGAUUCCACCGAUAUGAGGAACUUAGUCAAGUUCAUAGAGACAAAAAGUGAAACAGAGUUUACCAGGGUCCAGGGAGAGGAGAGAAUGGGGAGUUACUAUUUAAUAGGUACAGAAUUUGUUUGGGAUGAUGGAAACGUCCUGGAAAUGUGAUGGUUGUACAACAUUAUGAAUGUAAGUAACGCCUCUGAAUUACACACUUAAAAAUGGUGUAUGGACUGUAUAUUUCACCAUACACACACACACACACACACACAGAACUCAUCAAAUACAAUCUAUAUUUGCAACCAAUCAUUGGAUAACUUUAAUUCCAGCAUUUGGGUUGUACAAACAUAAUUUGUGAAAACCUUUUCAAGUUUUGAUUUGAGAACUAAAUGAGAGAAAUUCAUGUUCAAAGCUUACAAGAUGCUGUUUUUCAGUGUAUGUGUGUUUGUUUUAAAUUCUGAAUACACUAGAUAGUAUGUGCAGGAUGAAUAUAGGUAACGAUGUUUAAAUGUUAGAAUUCCUAAACACUCAACUACAUACAUUGUAUUAUACACACUGGAGACAACCAAAUCUAUUCUCGUUAUGUAGUUGGAAAUAAACUAUUUUGAUAUCUUACAUUUGACCUAUCAAUCAACAUCAUUAGAAAAACCAUAAUUUCAGGGCACCUGGGUGGCUCAGUUGGUUAAGUGUCUGACUCUUGGUUUCAGCUCAGGUCAUGAUCCCAUGGUCAUGAGAUCAAGCCCCACAUCAGGCCCUGGGCUGAGUGUGGAGCCUGCUUAAGAUCCUCUCUUUCCCUCUGCCCUUCUUCCCUGCUCACACUCAAAAUAAAUAAACUUAAAAAAAUAAAGUGUUAAAAACAAACAAAAAAGCCCCACAAUUUCAAACUGGCUCUUUCUAAACAUACAGCCAAGACAAAUGGCAUCUUCCAUACUGUUAUUCGGAUGGAUUUUACCUUAGGGGUUUUUUUGGGAGGUGGGGAGGCUAAAUGCUCCCUGCGCAUAGUUCAUAUAUUUCAAAUACCAUUUUCUUAGCCAUUCGACAAGUAAGAAAAUGCUGAUUUAUUUUCUCCCCUUUUGUAUAUGGGAAAAUACAAGGUGUUCAAGCUGAGAUGGUAUGUAUACGAUGCCGAAACCUUCAUCAACUCCUCCAAAGCUUGUUUGCACUCUUCUGUUUGGACUGUUUUUCCAUGUGUGGCUUGUGAAAUCACAGGAGGAGUGACUAUUGCCCAGGUACGUGUUUAGCUGGCACAGCAGUGCUUUCCAGGUUGCCCACUAACCUUGUGAGUACAUGUGAAUAGAAUUAUUCUUUUUUCCACCAUCAAAAUGAGUGACCGUUAUUUAGAGCAACGAAUUCAUGUUAAGUUGUGUGUAAAGUUAAAUAAAUCUGCAAGUGAGACACUUGAGAUGUUAAAAGUAGUUUAUGGUGAAGAAGUAAUGUCGAGAGCAAGAGUUUUUGACUGGCACAAAAGGUUUAAAGAAGGCAGAGAUGAUAUCCAUGGUGAUGUGAAAAGUGGCUGUCCAGUUAUCCACAGAACACAGGAAAACAUUGAGAAGGUCAGAAAUCGGGUUGGCUCAGAUAGCUGAAAAGUGAAAUGUAGACUAAGAAACAAACUCAUGCUGAAAGAAAACUUGCACAUGAGGAAAGUUUCUAGGAGGAUUAUAUCUCAUUCUGUUGUGGUUCAGGACCCUGCUGAGGCCAAACGAUAACAGAGCUGCACAUGAACCUGACACUUGGGUAUAUAUUCAGGGCACAAUCCUACAUACAGUUUAGUUUCACUGGUCUUGGAGUAACUUGUAUCUGAAUCUCAAGUGAGCUGAGCUUUUUCAAACGUGUUCCGUUGGCUUUGUAGGUACAUGAUUUGAGCAGAGUCAAACCUGUGGAGUUGAGUGUGACAAAGGAGAGAGCGUGGAGCCUAGAGGUUUAUUGGGAACCUGGCCCUCUGUUACCGCAGUACCUAAAUUUCUACCUUGUCUUUUCAGGGUGAGCUCAUUUGAAUAAUCAGUAGGUUACCUACAGUCUGGGCAGUUAAACUUUCAACAAGGAGCUGGACAUCAGUGUUACUCUGUAUGGAAAUACUUCAUGUUAUUUUUUUAAUGUUUAUUUAUUUUUGAGGGAGAGAGUGUGAGCGGGACAAAGAGACAAUGGGGGGACAGAGGAUGCAAAGCGGGCUCUGCACUGACAGCAGUGAGCCCGAUGCGGGACUUGAAUUCACGAACCAUGAGAUCAUAAUCUUAGUUGAAGUCGGAUGCUCAACCACCUGAGCCUCCCAGGUGCCCCUUUGUGGUACUAUUUCAACAACGAUAAGAAAAGAAUGGCCAUCUUUAGGCAGAAAUAUUCAGACUUGUAAUAAUGGAAUUUUUGUGGUGGGAGAUUGAGGUCAGAUGUUGGAAACUGGAAUUCAAAUCUGUCAGCAAGAAUGAAACAGAAGAGGCUGUAGGAAUAGUGGGCAGUUUUAGUAAAAAUAUACUCUUCCCUUCCACUCCCCCCACCCCCAAAUCAGGACCUGAUUUUGGUCAAAAGCCCACAAAACUUUCUAUUCUUUAUGUAAUCUAAAUUUUAGUUUCAAAUGGAUUCUUAUAUAUAAACUGUUUGGGUCUGGAAUUUGGCAUGAAGGGGAGACAAAUAGAGUUCAAUUUUGUUCCUAACUUCUUUCACCAGGAGAACGAGAUUCCAUGCUUCGAGUUUUGAAAGGCAUGACUGCAAUUAGCAACGUGUGAAUAACAACAUACACAAUCUCUUCAUCAACAACAAGGAACUGCAUUCUGACCUUCACAUUGUCUACGUGUGCUACUGAGUGUGGGGUCAUAUCCUAAGCUUCAGCUCUAAUAAGCAUUCAUCACAGGGAAGGUACGAUCUUGGAUAUUCAGUUGGCUACAAAUAGCUUUAAGUACAUUUAUGGUCAAGUCAAAUGGUAGCUUUGCUGACACAUUAAUAGAAAAGCAUUGGUAAUUCAUGUCAGAAUGAGAUACAAAAUAAUAGGUGAAAAAUGAUUUCACAUAAAAGAAAUUUUGAUAAACCUAGAAAACAAUUUCAGUUAUUUUUGUCCAUUAACAUUAGCAUUUUAAAGAGCUACUUGAAUCACAUGUUGUUCCUUCCCAUAAGAAGAGAUUUUGAGUACAACAGGAUGAAUUUCUCAUUGAGAAACUUGUUUUUGCCCCAGUUUCCUUUCUAGUCUCCAGUAGGACACGGUCAUCAUUCAGUAUUGGUAUUGUAGCAACUUAGAUGUACCAAAUGGCAACAUAUAGGACUUAAGUCAGAGCCCCAUGGCAGUGACUCUGAAAAGACUAGUUUUAUUAGUUAUACUAUUAAGGGUUUUUUGUUGCUGUUUUAAAAGACUCCCAGAAAUCCAAAUUUACAUUUUGUGGAACAUGAGCCAAAACUACUUGAGGUUGUUAUGGAAAAAUGGUCUCAUUUUAAUGGUCUAUAUUACCUCUGGGACCCUGCUGGUCAAAGCUGUGUGGCCCACAAGGCAAAAAUUAGAAUGAUCUUUUUCAUAUUGUCUUAAUUUUUUAUUACUGACUUUGUUACAGCUUGAUCUUUGGAGGUGCUUUGUACUGUGUAAAUGAAAUUUACUGAAAAUGUACAUAAGUAACUGACGUCCCAAUAAAC